rnacentral:lncRNA from 1 species
UUCAGGUUGGGUACAAUUUGAAUAGGAUUAAGAAUUUUUGGUCUGAUUUUGCUGAAAGCUCUGAAGUAUAGACAUCAUUUGAGUGAUGGGUAUGUUUAUAGACACAAUAAACUCAACUACUUGCUCUUUCACCUUCUUAGUAAUGAAGCCCUCAAUAUAGUCUCAAAUUAGAGGUAUUUGACUUUUAUCAGUGUCAUGCGUUUGCCCUUUUACAUUGUUAGGUUUAUUCAAGUGUGAAGUCCCACAUUGGAUAUGUGGGGGAGUGAAAGAGUUUAUAAGAAGGAAAGGGUCAUGGAACUAAUGCCUUAAGGUUUUGGUUCAAGACGUGGUGUCUCACUUGUGACCCCUCUCUCUUCCCAUACCCAUUUAACAAUGGAAUUCCCUGGUAGUUGGAGGCUCCCCGGUCGCAAUCUG